GGCACAUCGGUGCAAAUCUUUCUAAGGGCUAAAUACCUCAAAUAGGGGUGAGGAGAAAAGUACGAGGCUGGAGCUCUGAGGUGGUGGAUAGUAGUGCUGGUGCUACCUCUGAGGAGGAGCCUCGCGCUGUGAGUGUGGGUAUGUGGGUGGAGCUGCGGCGCGAUGGAAGGAGGAGCGCGCGAAAGUAGAGGACGCGCCUGACGAUGGCGGAGGGGUGACAGUGUCUGUGAAGUAUCAUGGAACUCAUGCAGCGGAUGAAAGAGCUUAUGAGUCCUGACUGUAGGAAAAUGAUACCACACCUCAUAAGAGCAAUGGUUUUAUGCCCAGCUCCUAUUUCAGCAUGGGAGGAGUGAUGUCUGCCAUACUCCAAGAGCUUGGAGAGAACCAGUCUGUAUGGAGUUCUGCAACCUUAAGUUCACUCUCUGAUCUGGUGGUCUUUUUAAACUGCCAUCGAAACAACAGAUUUUCAGAACGAAUAUUCAGAGCACAAAUUUUCUAGUGGGUUUCACAGAAAGAAAAGAAAGUAAUUCAUUAAGGUUGUGAAAGAAAAGAAAGUAAUUCAUUAAGGUUGUUCUGGUUGUUGUCUUUGAGGUAGUCAGAGCAAGAUCUUGUACCCACCAGGUCAGAAGACGUUCAGAAUAGGGUUAAGGGCAAGUGAGACAUAUGAACUAGACUACCCUAGAAGCUUUGCAGGACAAUAAACUUAUAGUGUUUCCUAUCUAAAUCUUGGGCUCCAGAAACUGCAGCUGAAACACACGCUGUUCACUCUUGCUGCCAGGGUACAUGAAGGCUGGCUGUUCUGCUAAGAACUGGGAGCCUCGAGCUGAGCACCAAGUAUCAGCAAGGAGCCAUGCAGUAAGACCAGGUCAGGAUCGGGGCUGGAGGCAGACAGGAUGGUCACACAGACCGACAGUCUUAAACUUAAAUGCUGUUUGGGAGGGGUAACGGUGACCAGUUUUCACUUACAGCCCUCUUCACCCACACUCUUAUAGGCAGAAGAGCUGACCUUGAUCUUAGCCCUCUCUGGGGCUCAGUUGGACCAGUAGCUGGGGCUGACUUAUGCUACAGCAUGAUGCUGGCAUGCUUGUGUGUGUAACUUUGAGUAAGUGGAGGCCUGGUGGGAGCAGAACAUGUGGAAAUGUGCCCAAACUCCAUGUAAUUUCAUAUUAACAGAUGGGUUAAAUCUGCUUUUUUCUUCUCACUGUUUCAGGAAUGUAACUGGUUAUCUGAAAUGCAAUCAAUGUACACUUGACUUUUGAAAAUGAUACAUAUAAAGGAGUUAUGAACAUAAUUCACUAAAGUCAAGCAUUCUUGAAUCACAUUUUAGAUAAUUGGUGGUAUUAAAUAAAAACUGACUGUAAU
rnacentral:lncRNA from 7 species